CACUCCCUAGUUGGAAGCCUUAGGAAGCUGUGCUAAUACAUUGUUGGACUGGCGGUUUGUGUUUUUAUGUCCUUCAUUUUCUUUCCCAUCAUCGUUUCCCUCUUCCUGCCUUGGCUUGCUUUACUGAUUUCCAAGGCUAGGUUCUGGUUCCCUCUUGACCUUCUCAGAUCAUGUUCCAUUCAGAGAGGGGUGGAGGGUGAGCUGUAUGUAUCCACUGAGGUAUGACCAGGAAAAGGUGGUCUUUUUCGCUUCACCUGGAGCAGAGCAGGUUUUGUUGAGACUCAAAGUGAAAAUUCUCCAAAGUUAUGCCAUGAC
rnacentral:lncRNA from 1 species